CCUACGGGAGGCAGCAGUGGGGAAUAUUGGGCAAUGGAGGAAACUCUGACCCAGCGACGCCGCGUGCGGGAUGAAGGCCUUCGGGUUGUAAACCGCUUUCAGCAGGGAAGAAGCGAAAGUGACGGUACCUACAGAAGAAGCACCGGCUAACUAUGUGCCAGCAGCCGCGGUAAUACAUAGGGUGCAAGCGUUGUCCGGAAUUAUUGGGCGUAAAGAGCUCGUAGGUGGUUCGUCACGUCGGAUGUGAAAAUCUGGGGCUCAACCCCAGACCUGCAUUCGAUACGGGCGAUCUAGAGUGUGGUAGGGGAGACUGGAAUUCCUGGUGUAGCGGUGGAAUGCGCAGAUAUCAGGAGGAACACCAAUGGCGAAGGCAGGUCUCUGGGCCAUUACUGACACUGAGGAGCGAAAGCGUGGGGAGCGAACAGGAUUAGAUACCCUGGUAGUCCACGCCGUAAACGGUGGGCACUAGUUGUGGGAACCUUCCACGGUUUUCUGCGACGCAGCUACGACAUAAGUGCCCGCCGUCGGGUAGGUACGAGUCGCGAAGAAUAAACUACAAUAGAAGUUAGUACGGACGUGAGACGUGACCGACGGACGACGACGAGGGAGGUUAGG
rnacentral:rRNA from 1 species